GACGAACGCUGGCGGCGUGCCUAAUACAUGCAAGUUGAGCGAUGAAGCUUGGUGCUUGCACCAAUUUGAAGAGCAGCGAACGGGUGAGUAACGCGUGGGGAAUCUGCCUUUGAGCGGGGGACAACAUUUGGAAACGAAUGCUAAUACCGCAUAACAACUUUAAACAUAAGUUUUAAGUUUGAAAGAUGCAAUUGCAUCACUCAAAGAUGAUCCCGCGUUGUAUUAGCUAGUUGGUGAGGUAAAGGCUCACCAAGGCGAUGAUACAUAGCCGACCUGAGAGGGUGAUCGGCCACAUUGGGACUGAGACACGGCCCAAACUCCUACGGGAGGCAGCAGUAGGGAAUCUUCGGCAAUGGACGAAAGUCUGACCGAGCAACGCCGCGUGAGGGAAGGAGGUUUUCGGAUCGUAAAACUCUGUUGGUAGAGAAGAACGUUGGUGAGAGUGGAAAGCUCAUCAAGUGACGGUAACUACCCAGAAAGGGACGGCUAACUACGUG
rnacentral:rRNA from 1 species